rnacentral:ncRNA from 1 species
AUUCACUAGGGGUGUUUGUAAAAACUGAGAUGAGUACUUACUCGAACCCUUUGAACCUGAUCUAGGUAAAACUAGCGUAGGAAAGUGUAAAAUC